rnacentral:rRNA from 1 species
GUUUGAUCCUGGCUCAGAUUGAACGCUGGCGGCAUGCCUUACACAUGCAAGUCGAACGGUAACAGGUCUUCGGACGCUGACGAGUGGCGAACGGGUGAGUAAUGCAUCGGAACGUGCCCAGUCGUGGGGGAUAACUGCUCGAAAGAGCAGCUAAUACCGCAUACGACCUGAGGGUGAAAGCGGGGGAUCGCAAGACCUCGCGCGAUUGGAGCGGCCGAUGUCAGAUUAGCUAGUUGGUGGGGUAAAGGCCUACCAAGGCAACGAUCUGUAGUUGGUCUGAGAGGACGACCAGCCACACUGGGACUGAGACACGGCCCAGACUCCUACGGGAGGCAGCAGUGGGGAAUUUUGGACAAUGGGCGAAAGCCUGAUCCAGCAAUGCCGCGUGUGUGAAGAAGGCCUUCGGGUUGUAAAGCACUUUUGUCCGGAAAGAAAUCCUUGGCUCUAAUACAGUCGGGGGAUGACGGUACCGGAAGAAUAAGCACCGGCUAACUACGUGCCAGCAGCCGCGGUGAUACGUAGGGUGCGAGCGUUGUCCGGAUUUAUUGGGCGUAAAGGGCUCGUAGGUGGUUGAUCGCGUCGGAAGUGUAAUCUUGGGGCUUAACCCUGAGCGUGCUUUCGAUACGGGUUGACUUGAGGAAGGUAGGGGAGAAUGGAAUUCCUGGUGGAGCGGUGGAAUGCGCAGAUAUCAGGAGGAACACCGGUGGCGAAGGCGGAUCUCUGGGCCAUUACUGACGCUGAGGAGCGAAAGCGUGGGGAGCGAACAGGAUUAGAUACCCUGGUAGUCCACGCCGUAAACGGUGGGAACUAGGUGUUGGCGACAUUCCACGU